rnacentral:lncRNA from 1 species
UCUUGUUGGUCAUCAAUUACAAUUAAUAGUAGUGGUGGUAGUUAAUAUCAGUCCGAAAAGUGCUUUGGCUCAGUAUAAAAUUUCUUGAGUUGCAAAAUAUAGAAGAUUGAAUGGACCAAAAUAUAUGAUAAAAGCUUGAGGCGAUAUAUAACAUCAGAAAUUAUUACAAAAAUACAGAAAGGUUCAAGCAAUUGAGGUGGUAACUUAUUG